UACGUAGGGUGCAAGCGUUGUCCGGAAUCAUUGGGCGUAAAGCGCGCGUAGGCGGCCCUGUAAGUCCGUUGUGAAAGUCAAAGGCUCAACCUUUGAAAGCCGAUGGAUACUGCAGGGCUAGAGUCCGGAAGAGGCGAGUGGAAUUCCUGGUGUAGCGGUGGAAUGCGCAGAUAUCAGGAGGAACACCAAUAGCGAAGGCAGCUCGCUGGGACGGUACUGACGCUAAGGCGCGAAAGCGUGGGGAGCGAACGAGG
rnacentral:rRNA from 1 species